rnacentral:rRNA from 1 species
CGUCUAUAUACGUAUAGCAUAUCAAUAAGCGGAGGAAAAGAAACUAACUAGGAUUCCCUUAGUAACGGCGAGUGAAGCGGGAGGAGCUCAAAUUUGAAAUCUUCAAGGUUCUACCUUGACGAAUUGUAGUUUAAAGAAGUGUUUUCUGUUGGAGUUUUGGUAAAAGUUCUUUGGAAUAGGACAUCAUAGAGGGUGAGAAUCCCGUAUUUGGACCAUUAUUUCCAACUUUGUGAUACACUUUCAAAGAGUCGGAUUGUUUGGGAAUGCAGUCCAAAAUGGGUGGUAAAUUUCAUCUAAAGCUAAAUAUUGGCGAGAGACCGAUAGCGAACAAGUACCGUGAGGGAAAGAUGAAAAGAACUUUGAAAAGAGAGUUAAACAGUACGUGAAAUUGUCAAAAGGGAAGCGUUUGACACCAGUGUUGUUUUCUCGAAAAUCAAUUAAAAAUGGCCGGAUUUUGUGUUGUAUUGACUUUACCAGCUUUCUGCACUUUUUUCUUGUCUUUUUUAAUGCACUUUUCGUUUAACAAGUCAACAUCAAUUUCUUUUGUUGUAAAAGGGUCAUUGGAAGGUGGCUUUCUUUUCGGAGAAAGUGUUUAUAGCCUUUGGCCUCUGCAAUCGGAGAGAUUGAGGUCUGCAGCGUAGAUCCUUCGGGGUUAGAUACAUUUGUGCUAAGUUAUAGCCUUUCAUAGACAACUUGUUGACUAUGAUCAGUCAUGUAGCUUACUCGCUUAUGCUAUUUUACCUACGCUUAGGAUGUUGACGAUCAGCUGAGCGCG